rnacentral:rRNA from 1 species
AAACCAACAGGGAUUGCCCCAGUAACGGCGAGUGAAGCGGCAAAAGCUCAAAUUUGAAAUCCUGCGGGAAUUGUAAUUUGAAGGUUUCGUGGUCUGAGUCGGCCGCGCCCAAGUCCAUUGGAACAUGGCGCCUGGGAGGGUGAGAGCCCCGUAUGGCGCACGCCGACUCUUUGCACCGCGGCUCCGACGAGUCGAGUUGUUUGGGAAUGCAGCUCUAAGUGGGUGGUAAAUUCCAUCUAAAGCUAAAUAUUGGCGAGAGACCGAUAGCGAACAAGUACAGUGAUGGAAAGAUGAAAAGCACUUUGAAAAGAGAGUGAAACAGCACGUGAAAUUGUUGAAAGGGAAGGGCUUGCAAGCAGACACGGUUUUACCGGGCCAGCGUCGAAAAGGGGGGAGGAAAAGGGGUAAAGAAUGUGGCGCGCACCUUCGGGCGCGCGUGUUAUAGCUUUUGUUAAUGCCCCCAUCCCUUUUUGAGGCCUGCGAUUCUAGGACGCUGGCGUAAUGGUUGCAAGCCGC